AGCUCAGUCAGGCACUGUUACCAGGUAGCUUAUACCAAGAACUCAGAGUUUAUGUCCCAGGAGCAUCCUGAGAGCCAGACCCGAAGACACAGCAGGGCAGAAUUUCAGCAUCACAGGCCUGCUGAGGUUCGAAAAAAAUGCCAUGAACGGGGUAACUCUUGAGAAGAAUAAGUAUCCACUUGUAAGAAGACUUCCCUGAGAAAAUCACCAAAUCUUUAAUGAGCUGCACAUGACUGAGGAAAGGAGCAUGGUAGUUCCUGAGUCAAGUGAAGACCUGAAGAAACGAGGCAAGGAAGAGCCUCAACAGCUUAUCCAAUAGGACUCAUCUUCUUGGAAACAGAAUCGGAGUCUGGCUCUGAGUUCUGAGCUCUUGCCCACAGCCAUGCUGUGCACUUGGGGUGGU